AAUAGAAAGAGGAGCCGGUAUCAGGCUCAAUAUGCCCAUGACACCUAGCCCAGCCACACCCCCAAGGGUAUUCAGCAGUGAUCAACAUUGUAAACUAGCGAAAGCUAAAUUCAGUUACCAGCUAAAAAAACCGGUCAAUCUCGUGCCAGCCACCGCGGUUAUACGGGCAGGUUUAAAUUGAUAACAUCGGCACAAAGCGUGGUUAGAUUUUCACUUCAAUAAAGCAAAAAAAAAGCCCGGCUGUGAUAUGCUUUCGCUUUUAAUAACCCCAAUCACGAAAGUAGCUUUACUCCAAUUGAACCCACGAUCGCUAGGGCACAAACUGGGAUUAGAUACCCCACUAUGCCUAGCCCUAAACUUUGAUCAUUCCGCCUGGGAACUACGAGCGUCAGCUUAAAACCCAAAAGACUUGGCGGUGCCCUAUACCACCUAGAGGAGCCUGUUCUAUAAUCGAUAAUCCCCGAUUCACCUCACCAUCUCUUGCCAAUACCGCCUGUAUACCUCCGUCGCCAACUGACCCCCUAAGGGUUACAGUCGGUUAAAUGGCUUUCCUCAGCAAGUCAGGUCAAGGUGCAGCGAAUGACAUGGGAAGUAAUGGGCUACAUUUUCUACUAAUAGACUAUACGAAAGAUCACUAUGAAAUCUGAUUGGAAGGUGGAUUUAGCAGUAAAAAGAGACUAGAGCGCUCUUUUUAAGUUGGCUCUAGGGCGCGUACACACCGCCCGUC
rnacentral:rRNA from 1 species